rnacentral:rRNA from 1 species
GUAAUGGGGGCACCUGAUCUAGCCAUGCCGCGUGAGUGAUGAAGGCCUUAGGGUCGUAAAGCUCUUUCGCCUGUGAUGAUAAUGACAGUAGCAGGUAAAGAAACCCCGGCUAACUCCGUGCCAGCAGCCGCGGUAAUACGGAGGGGGUUAGCGUUGUUCGGAAUUACUGGGCGUAAAGCGCGCGUAGGCGGAUUAGAAAGUUGGGGGUGAAAUCCCGGGGCUCAACCUCGGAACUGCCUCCAAAACUGCUAGUCUAGAGUUCGAGAGAGGUGAGUGGAAUUCCGAGUGUAGAGGUGAAAUUCGUAGAUAUUCGGAGGAACACCAGUGGCGAAGGCGGCUCACUGGCUCGAUACUGACGCUGAGGUGCGAAAGUGUGGGGAGCAAACAGGAUUAGAUACCCUGGUAGUCCACACCGUAAACGAUGAAUGCCAGUCGUCGGGUAGUAUACUAUUCGGUGACACACCUAACGGAUUAAGCAUUCCGCCUGGGGAGUACGGUCGCAAGAUUAAAACUCAAAGGAAAUUGACGGA